rnacentral:rRNA from 1 species
UACGUAGGGGGCAAGCGUUGUCCGGAAUCAUUGGGCGUAAAGCGCGUGUAGGCGGCCCACUAAGUCUGAUGUGAAAGCCCGGGGCUCACCCCCGGAAGUGCAUUGGAAACUGGUGGACUCGAGUCCCGGAGAGGAGAGUGGAAUUCCUGGUGUAGCGGUGAAAUGCGUAGAUAUCAGGAGGAACACCGGUGGCGAAGGCGGCUCUCUGGACGGUGACUGACGCUGAGACGCGAAAGCGUGGGGAGCAAACAGG